rnacentral:rRNA from 1 species
AGCGAACGCUGGCGGCAGGCCUAACACAUGCAAGUCGAACGAAGUCUUCGGACUUAGUGGCGGACGGAUGAGUAACACGUGGGAACGUACCUUUUGGUUCGGAACAACUCAGGGAAACUUGAGCUAAUACCGGAUGAGCCCUUAGGGGGAAAGAUUUAUCGCCGAAAGAGCGGCCCGCGUUAGAUUAGCUAGUUGGUGAGGUAAAGGCUCACCAAGGCUACGAUCUAUAGCUGGUCUGAGAGGUGGAUCGGCCACAUUGGAACUGAGACAAGGUCCAGGCUUCAACAGGAAGGCUGCAGUGGGGAAGACUGGGCAAUGCGCUAACGCGUGACCCGGCGAUGUGACCGGGGGAUUGAAAGUUAACUGUAAACCCCAGACUAAAUGUGAGCAUAAUGACUCAAACAUGGUGCUGAAGUCCUGGCUAAUUCUUGUGCCAGCAGCCGCGGUAAAAC